AGCGAACGCUGGCGGCAGGCCUAACACAUGCAAGUCGAACGAACUCUUCGGAGUUAGUGGCGGACGGGGGAGUAACACGUGGGAACGUGCCUUUUGGUUCGGAAUAACUCAGGGAAACUUGUGCUAAUACCGAAUGUGCCCUUCGGGGGAAAGAUUUAUCGCCAUUAGAGCGGCCCGCGUCUGAUUAGCUAGUUGGUGAGGUAACGGCUCACCAAGGCGACGAUCAGUAGCUGGUCUGAGAGGAGGACCAGCCACACUGGGACUGAGACACGGCCCAGACUCCUACGGGAGGCAGGAGUGGGGAAUCUUGCGCAAUGGGCGAAAGCCUGACGCAGCCAUGCCGCGUGAAUGAUGAAGGUCUUAGGAUUGUAAAAUUCUUUCACCGGGGACGAUAAUGACGGUACCCGGAGAAGAAGCCCCGGCUAACUUCGUG
rnacentral:rRNA from 1 species